rfam:Camelus ferus unplaced genomic scaffold scaffold2403, whole genome shotgun sequence.
GUGGGUAUAGCUCAGUGACAGAGCACAUACUUAGCAUGCAUGAGGUCCUGGGUUCAAUCCCCAAUACCUCCU